rnacentral:rRNA from 1 species
UACGAAGGGGGCUAGCGUUGUUUGGAAUUACUGGGCGUAAAGCGCACGUAGGCGGGUUGUUAAGUCAGGGGUGAAAUCCCGGAGCUCAACUCCGGAACUGCCUUUGAUACUGGCAACCUAGAGUUCGGAAGAGGUGAGUGGAAUUCCCAGUGUAGAGGUGAAAUUCGUAGAUAUUGGGAAGAACACCAGUGGCGAAGGCGGCUCACUGGUCCGAUACUGACGCUGAGGUGCGAAAGCGUGGGGAGCAAACAGG